UCAUGAACCACAAAAGAUUGUAAGCUGAAAUUUUUAGGAAUUUCUUUUUCUCAUUGAUAUAAACCAACCCACAAAGUUUCAUCAAAAUCUGAGGGGAUCCAUGUUGGACCCUGGUUCACUUGGCAUGGAAUGACCAAUAUGAAAAGUUUUCAAUCUAGUAAGUUAUAUAAGUUAUUAUUGUCCAACUAAUAAAGAUUUCGGCUCACUGUGCUAAGGAAGUUACUAUUGUUUGCCGUCGGUGGCAAUUUCACAAAACAACAAAAAAAAGACUAUUAAAAUGGAUUGGAAAGAUCUACUAUCAGCUAGCAACGAAGAGCUUUUGAAGCUUAGAGAAUAUUCAGGAUGUGAUUUGGAAAUUAAGUUAAUUCAGCUAAUGAAUGGAUCAAGUCACCAGACAAAUUUAAAAGAUGCUGCGUUGGUCGAUUGUUUUUUCAAUAUUUAUAAUUUUGCUCAAGAACUGAGUUUAAGCAAUGAGCAACUAAUGAAGUUAUUUAAAUUGUAUUCAAAAUUUCUUUUAAAUUGUGAAAAAAAUUGUUCAUUACAAUGCAGCAUUGACAAUUUGAAACAUGGCUUAAAGAAUCCAGAAUCUUUUGAGUUUGAAACCAGAAUAAUCAAAGAUGUUAUAGAUUUCUUAUUUUUAUUUUUUCAGCACCAUGAAUUAUACAGGUAUCUAUUUACUGUAGAUCAGGAACAACAAGAGUUAUUGAAAGAGAUGAAUUUCCAAGCUCUUCCCCAGAUGCAAACAUUUCCUCCUCCACUUGAUGAAGCAAUUAAUGAAGAGUGGUUGCGCAUUGAAUAUCCUACCAAUCAACAUUUAGAGGAAAUUGAAAAUGAGUCAUGUGAAAGUAAUGCAAACAUAAAAUCUAAUGUUACAUUAGAUGAUAUUUGUAAAGAAACUGCUGAAAACCUAUUGUCAACAUUAACGAAAAGCAAAAUAAAACUUUUAGUCAAUGAAUCAGCAGAGAAAAAGUUAAAUACUGUUCAGUAAAAAAACCUUGGUUAGACGGAGGUUGCAAAGAUGAAUUAUUAAUGGAUAAAUCUAUAAGGGAUAAUAUCACUUGUUCGAUCGAUGGGAUAAUAUCACUUGUUCGAUCGAUGGGAUAAUAUCACUUGUUUGAUCGAUGGGAUUUAAUUUAAAAAAAGUUUAUUCGGUAGUUGGGAGACAUUAAAGAAAAGUAUGAGGACUCUAAAGCAGCAGAGAAAUCUAGGAGAAGAAAGCAGCAGAGAAAUCUAGGAGAAGAAAGCAGCAGAGAAAUCUAGGAGAAGAAAGCAGCAGAGAAAUUUAGGGAAGAAUUCAAAAAGAAGAGGGGAGCAGAUUUUGAUUGGUAAAGAUAAUAUUAAGAAAAUCUUAAAAAAAGAUGCUUUGAUAAACUUUUACAUUAUUCUAAUAUUAAGUUUUUAAAAGACCAAAAGUCCAGACACCUUAUGACUUUGAGGAGCAAAGACAUGAGAUAUAAGACUGUAAAUAAAGAAAAGAAGAAGUUAAAAAAUUGUAAUGUUAAAAAUUACCCCAAGUAGACGAAUCAACUACAGAGCUAGAGCUUUUCUCAGUCAUAAGUAAUAUUAAUACAGAAUCAGAUACAGCCCAGAUAAUCAAAAACAAGAGUUAGGGAAGGAUUUUUUUAAAGAUAUUGCCAUGACUUGAAUUUAAUAGUAAGUUCAGACGGAUAUGUGGUUAAUUUUUUAUUGUCUCAUUCAGUUCGUUGGCAAGCUGAAAACAAAUUUUUUCAGGAAAAUGCUGAGCAAUAUAAAAACAUAUGUUAAAAUUGCUACCAAGUAAAAUCUAUUUUUCCCAUGAUAACACAUUUUGAUGGGAAAAUUAUUGAAGAUAUCAUAGAAGGUAAAAAAUCAAAAAAGAGAUCAAUUUGCAGUCUCAGUAAAUAUUGAUGGCAAAAUGAAGCUUCUUGGAUGGAAUGCCAAAAUACUAUUGUUUGUGGUACUGGACAAGCUCAAUAUGAUGCUUUAGGUAAAAUACUGGAUGAGUAUGGAAUAUUUGAUGAUGUGAAAGGUUUAUGUUUUGAUACAACUUCUAUAAAUACAGGAAGAUUUUCUGGUAAAAAUGUCAGGUUUAGUCAUUAACAAAAUUUAAAUGUACUAGAGCUGGCUUGCAAAAAACAUGUUUAUGAAUUACAUCUAAAACACUGAAAAACAGUACAGUAGAAAAACUAAAUCUCCGGAAAACAUAAUGUUCAAACAGUUCCAAUUAAACUAGAAUGACAUUAAAAGUAGCCCUAAUUCUUCAAAGACAGAUAAUCAAAGAAAGAAGUGCAGUCUAUGGCUGAGUUUAUCUCAAUCUUAUUUUUUUGUCCAUCUGGUUUUUAAAAACUUCUUUACCAUACGAUGUGCCUUACCAAGAUAUGAAUGCUUAUUGGCAAAUGAUGAAAUAUAGAGAAUACGUAGAACAAUAUGUUCAAAAUUCUGAAACAAUUUUAAAUGAAAUUGAUACCACAAUAGUUUCAAUGAAAUUACAUUUAUGGUACCUUGAUGAAAUUUUGGUUCUACUUGAUCUUCUAGACCAUAAUAUUUCUAUUGCAGAGAGAGAUGUUGCAAAAAUGCUCUUCUCAAAACUAGUUCCUAAAUUUUUUUGGCAUUGCAAGAAAUUAAAUUUGUUAAAAGCUCUUAACAUCAUUCAGGCAAAGACUAAGGAAGAUUUGCAAUCAGCAUAGGAAGCAAUUGUAGAAAAAACUAGACAAAUAAAAGUUUUUAGAGCAUACAGAGACAGUUACAGUAAAAUAAUGAGACUUAACUAAAUGACAAGUCAAGAAUGAAUUUUAGUUGAUGGAACUAGAGAUGAUGGAACUAGAGUUGAUGGAACUAGAGAUGAUGGAACUAGAGAUGAUGGAACUAGAGUUGAUGGAACUAGAGUUGAUGGAACUAGAGGUGAUGGAACUAGAGAUGAUGGAACUAAAGUUGAUGGAACUAAAGAUGAUGGAACUAGAGUUGAUGGAACUAGAGAUGAUGGAACUAGAGAUGAUGGAACUAGAGAAGAUGGAACUAGAGUUGAUGGAACUAGAGAUGAUGGAACUAGAGAUGAUGGAACUAGAGAU